rnacentral:rRNA from 1 species
UACGUAGGGUGCAAGCGUUGUCCGGAAUCAUUGGGCGUAAAGAGCUCGUAGGCGGCUCAGUAAGUCGGGUGUGAAACCCCCAGGCUCAACCUGGGGACGCCACCCGAUACUGCUGUGGCUAGAGUCCAGUAGGGGAGUGUGGAAUUCCCGGUGUAGCGGUGAAAUGCGCAGAUAUCGGGAGGAACACCAGCGGCGAAGGCGGCACUCUGGGCUGGUACUGACGCUGAGGAGCGAAAGCGUGGGUAGCGAACAGG